CGGCGUCGAGCGGCGGACGGGUGAGUAAUGCCUAGGAAAUUGCCCUGAUGUGGGGGAUAACCAUUGGAAACGAUGGCUAAUACCGCAUGAUGCCUACGGGCCAAAGAGGGGGACCUUCGGGCCUCUCGCGUCAGGAUAUGCCUAGGUGGGAUUAGCUAGUUGGUGAGGUAAGGGCUCACCAAGGCGACGAUCCCUAGCUGGUCUGAGAGGAUGAUCAGCCACACUGGAACUGAGACACGGUCCAGACUCCUACGGGAGGCAGCAGUGGGGAAUAUUGCACAAUGGGCGCAAGCCUGAUGCAGCCAUGCCGCGUGUGUGAAGAAGGCCUUCGGGUUGUAAAGCACUUUCAGUCGUGAGGAAGG
rnacentral:rRNA from 1 species